UAAUCCAACUCUAGUGACGUAGUCACCUUGGUGAUAUCUAAAUAUUUCAAGAUGGCAGCCAAGUGUAAAUAAAGCCAAAACAAUAUCGUUUUAAGAAGUUUUGUCCUUAGAAGUGCGACAUAUCUUAUAAUUUAUUUGUUACAUGGUACCAUAAAAUUUACAGUCCGAAAUGUCGAAGAAGAAAGAAGACCCACCUAAGAUCCAUUUACCAAAGGAACAAUCAGUCCAGUUUAGUAGAACUAAUACAGACAUGGUCAGUUAUGAAGAUCUAUUGAUUGAUCAGUAUCUUGAGGAACUGAGAAAAACUAAAGGAGAGAUGAGAAAGAAAAAAGAUGUCCCAAGAUCACCUUAUGCUCAGCGUGUAUCUUCAGCGACAGAAUAUAAAUAAAGCAAGAGACGACCUAUGUCAGCAACAUAUCCACCCAAACCACCUUCUGGUAACAAACCAAAAAUAGAUGCCAAGUUUAUUGCAGACCCCAAUCUCUGGGACCCGUCUACUCCUAGGGAGAGAAUGACAAUAAAAGCAGCAA